rnacentral:rRNA from 1 species
GCAGCCGCCGCGGUAAUACGAAGGGGGCUAGCGUUGUUCGGAAUUACUGGGCGUAAAGGGCGCGUAGGCGGCCAUUCAAGUUAGAUGUGAAAGCCCUGGGCUCAACCUAGGAAUUGCAUUCGAUACUGUUUGGCUUGAGUUCGGGAGAGGUGAGUGGAAUUCCCAGUGUAGAGGUGAAAUUCGUAGAUAUUGGGAAGAACACCAGUGGCGAAGGCGGCUCACUGGACCGACACUGACGCUGAGGCGCGAAAGCGUGGGGAGCAAACAGGAUUAGAUACCCCCGUAGUCCCUGUCUCUUAUAC